UACGUAGGUCGCAAGCGUUAUCCGGAAUUAUUGGGCGUAAAGGGAGCGUAGGCGGUUUGAUAAGUCUGAUGUGAAAGCCAACGGCUCAACCGUUGAAUUGCAUUGGAAACUGUCAAACUAGAAUAUCGGAGAGGAAACUGGAAUUCCAUGUGUAGCGGUGGAAUGCGUAGAUAUAUGGAGGAACACCAAUAGCGAAGGCAGGUUUCUGGACGAUCAUUGACGCUGAGGCUCGAAAGCGUGGGUAGCAAACAGG
rnacentral:rRNA from 1 species